UACGGAGGGUGCAAGCGUUGUCCGGAAUCACUGGGCGUAAAGGGCGCGUAGGCAGCCCGGUAAGUAGGGGGUGAAAUCCUGCGGCUUAACCGCAGGGCUGCCUUCUAAACUGUCGGGCUCGAGCACGGUAGAGGCAGAUGGAAUUCCCGGUGUAGCGGUGGAAUGCGUAGAGAUCGGGAAGAACAUCAGUGGCGAAGGCGGUCUGCUGGGCCGUUGCUGACGCUGAGGCGCGACAGCGUGGGGAGCAAACAGG
rnacentral:rRNA from 1 species